GGGAGUUACAGUGUUGGCUGGGGUGAUUGACCCGGAAUAUCAAGACAAAAUUAGUCUACUACUCCAUAACAAAGGUAAGAAAAUCAGAGCAAAGGAAGUUUGAGUAAUGCACCCUGGCUCCCAUAAAUGGUAGAUGCAGAGCUCAAACCCACAUGGCUGACUCCAGACCUCAAUGAAGAACACGUUCCUGUUUUCCUGGGUGGUUCACCAUUUUGCCUGUUGUCCCAGGCCCCCAUGCAUUUGAAAGGAAGAGAAGG